UACGAAGGGGGCUAGCGUUGUUCGGAAUUACUGGGCGUAAAGCGCACGUAGGCGGAUAUUUAAGUCGGGGGUGAAAUCCCGGGGCUCAACCCCGGAACUGCCUUCGAUACUGGGUAUCUUGAGUUCGGAAGAGGUGAGUGGAAUUGCGAGUGUAGAGGUGAAAUUCGUAGAUAUUCGCAGGAACACCAGUGGCGAAGGCGGCUCACUGGUCCGAUACUGACGCUGAGGUGCGAAAGCGUGGGGAGCAAACAGG
rnacentral:rRNA from 2 species